rnacentral:rRNA from 1 species
CAUACGGCUCAGUAACACGUGGCUAACCUACCCUCGAGACAGGGACAACCCCGGGAAACUGGGGCUAAUCCCAGAUAGAUGAGAACCCCUGGAACGGGUUCUCAUCCAAAAGGCACCGCGGUUAUGCUCUGCGGUGUCGCUCAAGGAUGGGGCCGCGUCCGAUCAGGCUGUUGGUGAGGCAAUGGCUCACCAAACCUAUAACCGGUACGGGCCGUGGGAGCGGGAGCCCGGAGAUGGGAACUGAGACAAGGUCCCAGGCCCUACGGGGCGCAGCAGUUACGAAAACUUGUCAAUGCACGAAAGUGUGAACGGGCUACCCCGAGUGCCGUCCGCUGAGGAUGGCUUUUCUCUGCUGUAAGAAGGCGGAGGAAUAAGGCGAGGGCAAGUCUGGUGUCAGCCGCCGCGGUAAUACCAGCUCGCCGAGUGGUAGGGAUGAUUAUUGGGCCUGAAGCGUCCGUAGCCGGCCUAUCAAGUCUCUUGUUAAAUCCAACUAUUCAAUCUCUGGACUGCAGGAGAUACUGUUAGGCUAGGGGGCGGGAGAAGCCUACUGUAUUUUCGGGGUAGGGGUUAAAUCCUAAAAUCUCGGGAAAACCACUACUGGCGUUAAGCCGUCUAGCUAGCACUCGCUCCACCGGUGAGGGAGUAAACAUGGGGGA